rnacentral:tRNA from 1 species
GUGGUGGUGGCUCAGUGGUAGAAUUCUCACCUUCCAUGUGGGAAACCUGGGUUUGAUUCCUGGCCAAUACC